rnacentral:lncRNA from 10 species
AGGCAGAGCUCUUGUCACUUGAGGGAACUGUGUUUCCUCGUGGAGAUCCAAGGCCACUGGACACAGAGAGUGGCAUCCCAUGGGCCAGCAUUUACUGCUGCUGGUUUGUUAACAGAACUCCGACCUCAUGGACAUUUGGUUGCUUGAUGGUUAUGUGCUGGGAGUAGGGAAUGGGAAGAUGAUUGGAACACCUGGAGUAUAAGUGGAGUAAAGAGUACAGAAGAAAUGCCUCUGGCGGAAAAUUUGAAGCAGUUUCUGUGCAAGACUGGAGCUCACACAUGAAGCCAACUCUGAGGAAGUACAAAGUGUUGUCCCCAAUCCUCGUAAUAUCCAGCUUCUUUGGCAGCUUGCUCUGCCCAAAAGAAGAUAGGAGACAGACAGACAGACAAACACACAGGCAUACACACAGAUGCGCAGAUGGACAGACAAUAAACUUUUCCUGGGGAUGUGAAGGUGGGGAACCUGAGGCUUGGAGAUAUGAAGUUAUAUGCUCCGAUGCAGAGUUAGCAAGUGACAGAGCAAGAACUGCA